GACGAACGCUGGCGGCGUGCCUAACACAUGCAAGUCGAACGAGGUCCAUCCUUCGGGAGAAGACCUAGUGGCGAACGGGUGAGUAACACGUGAAGAACCUGCCCCGAAGACCGGGAUAACCCUCCGAAAGGAGAGCUAAUACCGGAUACCCCCACCGAACCGCAUGGUUUGGUGAGGAAAUGGAUUCCGCUUCGGGAGGGCUUCGCGGCCUAUCAGCUAGUUGGUGGGGUAACGGCCACCAAGGCAUCGACGGGUAGCUGGUCUGAGAGGACGAUCAGCCACACUGGGACUGAGACACGGCCCAGACUCCUACGGGAGGCAGCAGUGGGGAAUCUUGCGCAAUGGGCGAAAGCCUGACGCAGCAACGCCGCGUGGGGAUGAAGGCUCUCGGGUUGUAAACCCCUUUCAGCAGGGACGAAUCAAGACGGUACCUGCAGAAGAAGCCCCCGGCUAACUACGUGCCAGCAGCCGCGGUAAU
rnacentral:rRNA from 1 species